AGUGAACGCUGGCGGUAGGCCUAACACAUGCAAGUCGAACGGCAGCACAGUAAGAGCUUGCUCUUACGGGUGGCGAGUGGCGGACGGGUGAGGAAUACAUCGGAAUCUACUUUUUCGUGGGGGAUAACGUAGGGAAACUUACGCUAAUACCGCAUACGACCUACGGGUGAAAGCAGGGGAUCUUCGGACCUUGCGCGAUUGAAUGAGCCGAUGUCGGAUUAGCUAGUUGGCGGGGUAAAGGCCCACCAAGGCGACGAUCCGUAGCUGGUCUGAGAGGAUGAUCGGCCACACUGGAACUGAGACACGGUCCAGACUCCUACGGGAGGCAGCAGUAGGGAAUAUUGGGCAAUGGGCGAAAGCCUGACCGAGCAAUACCGCGUGAGUGAAGAAGGUCUUCGGGUCGUAAAGCCCUGUUAUUGGGGAAGAAAAGAAGCAGGAGAAUACCCGGAUGUUCUGACGGUACCCAAAGAAUAAGCACCGGCUAACUUCGUG
rnacentral:rRNA from 1 species